UUCUAGCUAUUUCACCCCCAACUGGUCUUUAUUUUGUGUUUCUGUUAGCUUUUAGUUUUAUAAACAGAUGUGCAGGUGACAAAAUUAAGAAAGAAGGUUAUUGACAAAGAGGAAGAAACCUGCUUGCUGGGGGGAAAACGUGCUCACCAAGAGAGGGAUCUGUAAAAGCACCGCUUGAGAUUUUGAAAAGCUUGAAUGUCUUACCUUGACCUGAUCUUCUCAAACUCAACUAAUGAACAAGAAGAUCACCACCUCUCAUACAGUAGGCUUCAAUCAGUACAGCAACCCUAACACUGUCUUUGUGGAAGAAUACUGUUUUCAGUGAACUGGUUGCUGAGUAGAAAGCAACAUGAAAUUCCCAAAUACAGGUGGCAUCUAAUUCCUCUCUCCAGGCCUACUGCAAGUGCUUCAGAGCUCCAGCCGCCUGCGCUGCUAUAUAUAUAUUCUACCUGGAGCAGCGAGAAGGAGAGUGCAAACCGGCAUCAUGCGCUGCGUGGCAGCCGGCUCUCUCAAAGCUGUGAAGAAAGAAGUUGAAAGAGGCUUGCUUAUGGGGAGAAAUCAAUUACAGACACCUAUCUGAAAGGAAGGAAGUGCAGCAAAUUGUCUUCUGCUGUGUUCAUGAGAUAUACAAGAGGAGGUGACUAUAAAUAUUUUAGUUUUGUCAUGAAUGUUGAUUUUUUCCUUGAAGUCUGAAUAACAUCCUAUUCUGCUCACUUUUCAAUCCUCUGUUAUUCUGUCUAGAGGCAAAAAACUGUAAUUGGAGCAGGUGUGUGUUUACAUGAUAUACACAGAGGCACAGAAAGGCUAAAUAUUGAUUAU